rnacentral:rRNA from 1 species
AGCGAUCGCUGGCGGCAGGCUUAACACAUGCAAGUCGAGCGGGCAUAGCAAUAUGUCAGCGGCAGACGGGUGAGUAACGCGUGGGAACGUACCUUUUGGUUCGGAACAACACAGGGAAACUCGUGCUAAUACCGGAUAAGCCCUUACGGGGAAAGAUUUAUCGCCGAAAGAUCGGCCCGCGUCUGAUUAGCUAGUUGGUGAGGUAAUGGCUCACCAAGGCGACGAUCAGUAGCUGGUCUGAGAGGAUGAUCAGCCACAUUGGGACGGAGACACGGCCCAAACUCCUACGGGAGGCAGCAGUGGGGAAUAUUGGACAAUGGGCGCAAGCCUGAUCCAGCCAUGCCGCGUGAGUGAUGAAGGCCCUAGGGUUGUAAAGCUCUUUUGUGCGGGAAGAUAAUGACGGUACCGCAAGAAUAAGCCCCGGCUAACUUCGUGCCAGCCGCCGCGGUAA